rnacentral:rRNA from 1 species
CAGUCGCCGCGGGAAUACGGAGGGGGCUAGCGUUGUUCGGAAUUACUGGGCGUAAAGCGCACGUAGGCGGCUUGGUAAGUUAGAGGUGAAAGCCUGGAGCUCAACUCCAGAAUUGCCUUUAAGACUGCCGAGCUAGCAGGUGAGAGAGGUAAGUGGAAUUCCGAGUGUAGAGGUGAAAUUCGUAGAUAUUCGGAAGAACACCAGUGGCGAAGGCGGCUUACUGGCUCAUACUGGACGCUGAGGUGCGAAAGCGUGGGGAGCAAACAGGAUUAGAUACCCCUGUAGUCCCUGUCUCUUAUAC